CGUACUACACCAGUCCCCCGGCCCCCAAAAAACCCACCCCUCCUUGGCUCCCCUUGUUUAGCAUUGGGCUGCAGUUCCUUUCUCUCUCAACACAACGUGGAAAUGAGAUACCUGCCAGAGUCUCGCCAUAUUCUCAUUCAGAGCCAUGUUUCAUACAUGUCGUUAAAAAGUAAUAUAUUGUAAUCUUAACUCUGAAGAAUCUCUUGCUUAAGAGGUUUCUAAAAUUCCAACAAGACGUUAAAGCAGGAUCGUAUUAUUCAUUUCAUAUCUUGGUAUUUCACAAGAUUAAAUCUUUGGUGUUUGAGAGUGGAGCUUUGUGGGAUUUGGCAGACUCUGUUGGUAAAUGAGCAGUCUCCUGUGGUAUUUCCCUCUGUUUAUUCUACUCCUUUAAGCUGCUGCCCUCUCUGUCUCCCUCUUCCACACUGACCAUUGCCCUGUAGUAACAUUCAAACCUCAUACUUCACUAUAAACCACAGACUAUUUAUUAGAGAUUAUUAUUUUAUGAGAAUGCAGCCGUGGUGGCAGAUCUGCUCAACGAACAGAUACUGCUUAGUUUUUUCCAAUGCAACACUGAAGCCAGUGUCCUCUCUGUACUUUUCAGUGAAAAUGUUCCAGAACAAUGUAUCAUGCUAUUCAAGAGUUCAUGGAGUGUUGUUGCACUGUGGCCAUGCAGUAUUGUGAUUGAUGUAUUUAUUAAUAGCGUGGCAUUGGUUUGUGUGCAAAUAUAAUGUAUUUAAGUGUUUGAGCAUGCAAUUCCAUGGAGUUUUGACAGUGUUGUCACCUUCAUUAUCAUAACAGGUCAAUAUACUUGUACCUGUGGCAAAAUCUGCUUAGAUAUACGCUACUGUUUAUCUGUGUGGCCAGUCAUAGUAUUCUUUAAGCAAACAAAUAAUCUCUAAAUUAUUCCUACUUGAAACACUGUCAGUCAUAUGUAUAUUAUCACCUCAUAAAUCUCAUGAGAGCAGUUUUAGUAUGUAAAAUAUUGUAAUAUUUGGUUUAAACCAAUGAAUAUAGUGAAUAUAGUUGAUUUAGUUUAUUACUGGUUUUAGACCAUGGCUAAAUCAGCAAACUCUCCCAAGAUUAGCUGUUACGCUACAACCGCUCCCCACCUCCAGCAGCUCCCUGUGACGACUCUGUCAAAGAUGUCCCUCUGACACGCCUCCCUAUGUAAAGUCCAGAAUAAGCACCGGAGCCACUUUUGAAACCAAGACGGCAGUAGAGGGGCACUAGAGCAGUGCCCUCCACCUCUGCACCAAGUGAAGACAGUGUUAUUGUUGCACUUAUUAGCUUUUUGUGUUAUUCAAAAUGUAAAGUGGUAAACGAGUGAGCGGUCAGAUGCAGUACACAAGCAAGAGUAUCAUGACACAGAGUCUGGUUUCCAUUACUCCACGUCUUUACAUUUUUGGAACCUUCUGAAUAUUAAUGUGUUCUGUGGUAUUGUUUCUCGAUGAAUGUACUCUUAUUGUUUGUUAUUUUCUUGACUCGUGCUGAAGAAAUGCCCUUUGUUCGAGAGACUCUCCUUUUUAUACUCUGCAAAGUAGCUUUGUGCCUUCUAGAGAGUUGAGAGGAGAGAAGUGUGUGACCUGUUACAAAAAGUACCAUGUGAAAAAUAGAGUAAACAAUACUGUUCAGCCAGUAUGACACAGAUAAGAUUCCCGAAGGAAGACUAUUACCAUCAGAAAAUACACAUGUCAAGACAAGAGCAAAGCAAGAGGAUUGAAAGUUCAUGUGAUUUUAUUCAAAAUCAAAGUGGCAUAUUUUAAGCAGUCAAAUUACUUUAACUUUGACCUCUGUUUACUUUAAAACUUGACAUUUGUGAUAUAAAAACCAAACAAAAUGUAACUAUUCUAAGACCUAAAUUUGGUUUUGGCUCUGUAGUUGGAAUUAAAAACUGACUGCUGAGUCACAUUUAGCCAUUAGAUGGCACUAUUGAACACACAAUUACCAUAAACAGGUGACUUCCAUGUGGAUAUACUGGUAAUGUCUUAUAUUUACACAGCAAUGCAUAUCAUUGUAACUAGAACAAUGUUGAUGUUAGCCAUGUUGUCAUAAUUAGAUUUUACAACUGCUAUAAACACUGACACCUGGAUCUCAGGGUUAUUUACUCUCCUCACAACAAACAUAAGGUUAUGGUUCAUUUUAACUCAAAGACCAAGAGACUGUGCUACAGGUUCCUGAAGGGAUUGUUUUUAUCCUUAAAGCAAAUGUCAAAUCAUCAAUUAAACUAAAUUUUCUAUCAUUCCACUUUUCAUUACCCACAAAUUGUAGAUGUGUAGAUGAUGUGAUUGAUGAUAGAAUCAACCACUUAUCACUUAUCCAAACAUCAGAGAUCACUCAAGGCUCUGGUACUUCCUAAUUAAACGUGAUUCACCAUGUUCAAUAUUUACAGUUCUUCUUGAACAUCCUCCUCAGUGUAUCAGAUAUUUGUGAUGUCACACGGUUUCAUCUUUUCAGCCGAGCGCUUACAGAAUAUGGUGUUGUUGUGGUAUAUUGGCAUACAGUUGUCUCAGGUUUUACUUAAAGUCCAACUUUUAUCACAGAUAUUCAAUUUGUGCAUUUUUAUUAUUAAAAGCCAUAUUAUUCUGCCAGAUAUUAAAGCGCUGGUGCUCAAACUGCUCUAAAACAAUAUUUAGAAAAAGAGGAGUGGUGAUAGAUCAUUUUUAAGCCAUUUAAUGAACAAUACAGUGAAUGUGCUGUUUAUUUAUUCUUCAAAUAAAGACCCAGAAGCACUUGGUGACUGGUUUUUAUGCCUGUGAAAGAGACAGACUAGUGUGUUGUACAUCUGUUUGACUUUUGUUCAUUAGGUCAAUGAAUAAAUGAAAUUACACCAGU